rnacentral:rRNA from 1 species
CCUACGGGGGGCUGCAGUGGGGAAUUUUCCGCAAUGGGCGCAAGCCUGACGGAGCAAUACCGCGUGAGGGAGGAAGGCUCUUGGGUCGUAAACCUCUUUUGUCAGGGAAGAAGUUCUGACGGUACCUGACGAAUCAGCAUCGGCUAACUCCGUGCCAGCAGCCGCGGUAAUACGGAGGAUGCAAGCGUUAUCCGGAAUUAUUGGGCGUAAAGCGUCCGCAGGUGGUGAUACAAGUCUGCUGUCAAAGCAUGGAGCUUAACUCCAUAUCGGCAGUG